CCUACGGGAGGCAGCAGUGGGGAAUAUUGGGCAAUGGACGUAAGUCUGAACCAGCAAAGCAGCGUGCAGGAUGAAGGCUUUAGGGUUGUAAAAUUCCUUUUAGGGGGAAGAGAAGUAGACGGUACGCCUUGUAUAAGCCACGGCUAACUACGUGCCAGCAGCCGCGGUAAUACGUAGGUGGCAAGCGUUGUCCGGAUUUACUGGGUGUAACGGGCGUGCAGCCGGAGAGACAAGACUGACGUGAAAUCCACGGGCUCAACCCGUGAACUGCAGUUGAAACUGUUUCCCUUGAGUGUCGGGGAGGUAAGCGGAAUUCGUGGUGUAGCGGUGAAAUGCGUAGAUAUAAGGAAGAACACCAGUGGCGAAGGCGGAAUACGGCACGAUAACUGACGGUGAAGCGCGAAGGCGUGGGUAUCAAACAGGAUUAGAUACCCGAGUAGUC
rnacentral:rRNA from 1 species